rnacentral:rRNA from 1 species
GUCCGAAAUUACUGGCGUAAAGGGUGCCGCAGCGACAUUAAGUGAGAUGUGAAAGCACCCGGNCUANUNANCAGUGCAUUUCCAAACUGGAUGUCUGAAGUGCAGGAGAAGAAGAACGGAAUUCGUAGUGUAGCGGUGAAAUGCGUAGAGAUUAGGAAGAACACCAGUGGCGAAGGCGGUUUCUCUGGACUGUAACUGACGCUGAGGCACGAAAGCGUGGGUAGCAAACAGGAUAGAUCCCUUGGUAGUCCACGCCGUAAACGAUGAGUACUAGGUGUAGAAGGUAUCGACCCCCCUCUGUGCCGCAGUAAACACAAUAAGUACUCCGCCUGGAAAGUACGAUCGCAAGAUUAAAACUCAAAGGAAUUGACGGGGGCCCGCACAAGCAGCGGAGCAUGUGGUUUAAUUCGAAAGCAACGCGAAGACCCUUACCUGGACUUGACAUCCCCUGCAUAUCUUAGAGAUAAGAGAAGCCCUUUCGGGGCAGGGAGACAGGUGGUGCAUGGUUGUCGUCAGCUCGUGUCGUGAGAUGUUAGGUUAAGUCCUGCAACGAGCGCAACCCCUAUUGUUAGUUGCUAGCAGUAAGAUGAGCACUCUAACGAGACGGCCGCGGUUAACGCGGAGGAAGGUGGGGAUGACGUCAAAUCAUCAUGCCCCUUAUGUCCAGGGCAACACACGUGCUACAAUGGGCAGAACAGAGAGAAGCAAGACCGCGAGGUGGAGCGAACCUUGAAAACUGCUCCCAGUUCGGAUUGCAGGCUGAAACCCGCCUGCAUGAAGCUGGAGUUGCUAGUAAUCGCGAAUCAGCAUGUCGCGGUGAAUACGUUCCCGGGCCUUGUACACACCGCCCGUCACACCAUGAGAGCUGGCAACACCCGAAGUCCGUAGUCUAACGAAAGAGGACGCUGUGCCGACAGAAUGGGGUUAGUGAGUUGGGGNAANUNNCU